UCGUGCCCAGAGGACUCAGAGAUGAGCUCCAAAGAUUGGUGUAGGAACUGCCACAAUCCUGACUCUCUGGGCACAGGCUUCAGAAUAUAAACCAGGGCGAAGUGGGGCCGGUACAACCUCUUGGGGUCGUUACUUAGGACCUAUGCAACCCAGAGUGCGAGGCCUACUGGCACGGAACUGCAAGAGCCAGCGGGAGGUACCACGCGCAUGGCCGGAGCCCCGGACCUCGGGAGCGGUGGCCUCGAAUGGACCGCGCCCCCUGCCGGCUCGGCGCCUGACCUGAGCGCGACCCCAGACUCCCGCGGAGUCGCGGGGGCAGGACACCCAGCAGAGACUAGAGGAGUGGGGCUCGCCAACACCCCCAGAGAGGCUGAGACUCCAAGGUUCUCGGACGGGCUCGUAAGAUUUCGCAAUAGGGGCACGGCUCGAAAAGACUGAUUUGAGAAUUGGGAUUUGGAGGGGAGAAUGAUCUGAAGUUUCAGAAUUUAAUUGCCUAUUUGGAAAUAUGGGAAUAACCAAAAUUAGAACGGACGAUACCGUUUCGUUUUUCCCCCACCCCCCGUAAUCCAGUUAUUCCUUACAAGGUUACAACCUGAGAGUUUGCUUUGCUGCCCUCUGAGACUUCAUUCACCCAUUUAUGAACGGGAGGAUUUACUGCCAGGGAGCACACUAAUGUUUCACGUAUGUUAAUCGCUUUAGAGUUUACAAAACACAGCCACAUCCUGAUCUUUGAUCCUGACACCUACCCUUGAGUUAGGCGAGGAAGGUUAACAAUACUGUUCUUAUCUCACCAAGUAGAAAAUGAAGUUCAGAGACGGGAAGAAUUUGACCAAAGUCACGCCAAACGCAGGAAGCAGUAAAGUCCUAACUCGGCCUGGCAAGCAAGCACCGCAGACUCGGGCGCGGCGUGGAUAUUUCUAGGCUGGGGUCAUCAUGCAGUCAAGGGGGAAAGGAGAGUCCUAGCCCUCGCCCAAGGAUUUAUGCCUGUUCAUGAUGAAUCACCCCCAAGCACGUUUGUCACCCAUUUGUGUUCUUCCAUCACCGCUUUUUUUUUUUUUAACGAUUUUAUUUAUUUAUUUGCCAGAGAGAGAGCGCACAAACCGGGGGAGCGGCAGGUUUCCCGCUGAGCAAGGAAGCCUGACGUGGAACUCGAUCCCUCAUGACCUGAGCUGAAGGCAGAUGCUUAACCGACUGAGCUACCCAGGCGGCCCUCCAUCACCCCUUCUUGACUUUACUUUCUUCUUACUUCCCUUCUGAGGGCCAAGCUGGAAGGGAACUCGGCCCCGCGAAGCUUGAGUUCUUGCAUUCGGGCCUCUGGUAUCCUAUCAACCCCUACCCUAUUCUCAAGUCCUGCAGCUCUGCGCCUAGACUAAGAGGCGGUGGGCGCGGGGCCACUGGACUCGGCGGACCGGCUUCUAGUACCCACCCUGUGGCUGUGUGAAGGACUGAACCGUGGACACUGCACCCGGGGAAGGAAUGACCGCGGCUGAAGUUAUUCAUUCUGGGGACUCUUCCCCAAGGGAGUCACUUGAAUGGAUCUGAGUUCCAGCUGAGGAUAGGGGACAGAUUCCUGGCUCCGGAGCUGGGUCUGAUUCUGUUUGUUCCCUGAGAGUCAGGCUCUUCACACCAACCCUGUCCAAGACAUUCUCUGCGGAUGCGACUUGUCGCCAGCUUCCAGUUGGGUCCGCUCCAAGACAGGUUUUACUUUCAUUUCCCUGGCGCGCGCGCCUCAACUGCUGUAGAGGUCAAGGACAGCUGAGCGCCGGCCCACAGCCAGGGAAGGUCCCGUGGUCUGGACUCGUUCCUUCCAGUUCCCACCAGCCCUGGGCGGGGGGGUUCGGUCUGCAGAGGUCUCUGUGGCUGUGCCUCGUUGCCUCCUUUCUGUGUCUUUUUGGAAAACCCAUGAUUCCGUGGGAGCGGGGUGGGGGGGGGGAAUUCGCUCUAGCUCCUCUGCAGGAUCGCGAAGCGUGAUCUAGAUGCAAACUUCGCUUUGAGCUUGGGGCUGCUUCAACAAGCACAGCAAACCCAGGAGUGGAGACUGGGCUCCGCUCCUCCUGGCUCCAGUGCCUAGUCCAACGACAUAGCAGCGACGCCAGGAAUUCCCACCUGACAGCCUUGGCACACUUCUUAUCAGCUCAGAGACCAUUUGAAGAGGCCCCAACCCUGCCCGUGGACAUUUGGUUAAGUCUAACUCUCAGACUGCCUCUCUGAACUGUGGUGGCUAACCACAGGAAGCACUUGAAAUGACUGUAGAGAUCAACCACUCACUCCACAACAGCCGACUGUAGGAGCAGAGGACUGAUAAUUCUUGCUCGCUAGUAAUUGGCCCUUGUUUCUUCUAAAGCAUGAAUGAAAGGCAUCUGCUGUGUACACAUCAUCAUUGUGUUGCAUAUUCUUCUUCCCUUCCUGCUCCUGCCAGACAUCAGUAAAACAAAUCUGGGAUUGCUUUACUCCCUCACUCUUUGGUGAAAGGUGAUGGUGGUUAUCUCAAGGGGAUGGUCUGGCCUUCAGCCAACUUCAGUAAUCAGCUGCCUUGUCAGGGCUUAUCAGUUUCAGCAGACUGGCAACUGUUGGCUGAGAAGCAAAGCACAGCUCCAGUGUAUGCUAAAUAUGUUCACAUGUGUAUAUAAACAUAUGGUACCUUUAUACAUAUAGCUGGGAUAUGUCAAAAUCCCUAUGCCACAGAACACACAUUUGAAAUGGAAUGGCAGCCCACCUAUGACCCAGCAGAUGGAAUAUGCCUUAGAGCACACAGCAUUUAAUUCUAGACCUUGAAAACAACUAAGCUUCAAUUUAAAAAAAGUUUAAAUAAUUUGCACCAACACUUGUUAAUAAAAUAAAGCUCAACACAUUUAAAAAGUAAAAUGGGACUCUUGUCAUGUACAAAAACCUAAAAUGGCCUAAACACAAGAGCUAAAACUAUGAAACUCCUAGAAGAAAACAGGAGCAAAUUUUUCUGACCUUGGAUUUGGCAAUGAAAUUAGAUAUGACACCAAAAGCACAGAAAACAAAAGAAAAAAUAGAUACACUGUAUUUCAUAUGGGUAUAUACGUAAAAUGGAAUGCUAUUCAGCUAUAAAAAGAAUGAACUACU